GCCCGAGCUUCCUCCACGCGCCGUGCAGUCUCCACGGCGACGCUGCGUUCCCGACUCGGAGCCCCCAGCUCCGCGCGAGCAGCUAGCCGGGCUGGCUCUCGGUGUGUGCCCUUCGGAUGGUCUGCUGAAGAGGGCCGCCAGCUGGUAAGACACUCCGAGGCAACGACCGGUCUCCCUCUCCCUAGCCCGGUGUGCAGUCUGACCCAGCCCCCACAGCAGACCACCCCCAGACCGGGCGCCCGAGUCUGCGGACCGCUCUACCGCACCUGGUUCUGGCUCUGGGCCCCGGGCCCCGUGGCUGCCAGGGGCCGCCGGGAAGGGAGGAUGCGCGCCACUGGGGUGCGCCUGGCUUGCGGCACCCUCCUCCCGCAGUGGUCGGAAGAGGACUUCUGUAGACAAGACAGAUACUGUAAAGACAGCAAAGAACAAACAGAAUGGCAGAUUGCUAAUGUUUGAUCCAAACGAAAAAGUGAUGAUUGAAUCAAACGAAGCAAUGUCAGAUAAAUGCCUCUUUGGACGCAGACCAAGAUUGACAAGCAAACUUAAUACCUCACCAACACAGGUCUCUGUAAAUGUAGCUAAAACAUUCUCAGAAAAGUAAGUUUUAAUUAAUUUUGUUUUUA
rnacentral:lncRNA from 1 species